CCUACGGGAGGCAGCAGUGAGGAAUAUUGGACAAUGGGCGCAAGCCUGAUCCAGCCAUGCCGCGUGCAGGAAGACGCAUCUAUGGUGUGUAAACUGCUUUUGUACGGGAAGAAACACUCCCUCGUGAGGGAGCUUGACGGUACCGUAAGAAUAAGGAUCGGCUAACUCCGUGCCAGCAGCCGCGGUAAUACGGAGGAUCCAAGCGUUAUCCGGAAUCAUUGGGUUUAAAGGGUCCGUAGGCGGUUUAAUAAGUCAGUGGUGAAAGCCCAUCGCUCAACGAUGGAACGGCCAUUGAUACUGUUAGACUUGAAUUACUAGGAAGUAACUAGAAUAUGUAGUGUAGCGGUGAAAUGCUUAGAUAUUACAUGGAAUACCAAUUGCGAAGGCAGGUUACUACUAGUGGAUUGACGCUGAUGGACGAAAGCGUGGGGAGCGAACAGGAUUAGAUACCCUGGUAGUCCACGCCGUAAACGAUGGGUACUAGCUGUUGGGCGCAAGUUCAGUGGCUAAGCGAAAGUGAUAAGUAUCCCACCUGGGGAGUACGUUCGCAAGAANGAAACUCAAAUGAAUUGACGG
rnacentral:rRNA from 1 species